rnacentral:rRNA from 1 species
UACGGGGGGGGGCAAGCGUUGUUCGGAAUUACUGGGCGUAAAGGGCUCGUAGGCGGCCAACUAAGUCAGACGUGAAAUCCCUCGGCUUAACCGGGGAACUGCGUCUGAUACUGGAUGGCUUGAGGUUGGGAGAGGGAUGCGGAAUUCCAGGUGUAGCGGUGAAAUGCGUAGAUAUCAGGAGGAACACCUGUGGCGAAAGCGGCUCACUGGACCAUAACUGACGCUGAUGCACGAAAGCUAGGGGAGCAAACAGG